UACGUAGGGGGCAAGCGUUGUCCGGAUUGACUGGGCGUAAAGCGCACGCAGGCGGCACCGCGCGUGGGGUGUGAAAUCUGGCCGCUUAACGGCCAGGCGCCAUCCCAUACGGCGGAGCUGGAGUGAUGCAGAGGUCGAUGGAAUUGCCGGUGUAGUGGUGAAAUGCGUAGAGAUCGGCAGGAACACCCAGGGGGAAACCAGGUCG
rnacentral:rRNA from 1 species